rnacentral:rRNA from 1 species
AUUGAACGCUGGCGGCAGGCCUAACACAUGCGAGUCGAGCGGAUGAAGGGAGCUUGCUCCUGGAUUCAGCGGCGGACGGGUGAGAAAUGCCUAGGAAUCUGCCUGGUAGUGGGGGAUAACGUCCGGAAACGGGCGCUAAUACCGCAUACGUCCUGAGGGAGAAAGUGGGGGAUCUUCGGACCUCACGCUAUCAGAUGAGCCUAGGUCGGAUUAGCUAGUUGGUGGGGUAAAGGCCUACCAAGGCGACGAUCCGUAACUGGUCUGAGAGGAUGAUCAGUCACACUGGAACUGAGACACGGUCCAGACUCCUACGGGAGGCAGCAGUGGGGAAUAUUGGACAAUGGGCGAAAGCCUGAUCCAGCCAUGCCGCGUGUGUGAAGAAGGUCUUCGGAUUGUAAAGCACUUUAAGUUGGGAGGAAGGGCAGUAAGUUAAUACCUUGCUGUUUUGACGUUACCAACAGAAUAAGCACCGGCUAACUUCGUG